GUUCCAGUUUCCGGUUUGUAGGACACGGCCGACACUGUGGGAGUGGCCGUCAGGACCCAGGAAGGUUGUUUUAUGCUCCUCCGUGCAGCGCCUGGGUCCUGUGACACACAGCACGUGGGUCUGAUACACUCAGUGGCAGCCCCAGAUUCUGUGUGGACUGCCGCCCGGCCCUCAUCACACAGGGUGCUCUCAGGUUGUGACCUCUCAGCAGGACUUGCUCGGGUGACAGGCAUCUCACUCAAUUGUACUAAGAA
rnacentral:lncRNA from 1 species